UCCUCAGCCAUUUUUUAUUUUUAUUUUGUUUUGAGACAGGGUCUUGUGAAGUCACCCAGAGUGGAUUGGAACUUGUGAUCCUCCUGCCUCAGCCUCUCGCAGUUUCGGCAUUAUAGGCAUGCGACACCAGGUCCAGCUUGUUCUGUAUUCUUAACAGCUGUACACGGCAACUACAGCUUCCACUUCUCAGGGCUCCAGAGAUGGGAAAGGUUUGCAGCAGGAGAGAUUUCUAGAAGGCCACAGCUGGCUCCCUGGGUAAGAGUUACACCGCACUGGAGAUGCCAACACCCACCCUCCUGGCAGCUGCCACGCAAGAUCCAAAGGCACCCUGGUGGGGUGGGGAGGCCCCGGCCCUCCCACUCUUCAGCUCCCCUGCUCCCCAGCCUGGCUCCCUUGGCCACCA
rnacentral:lncRNA from 1 species